AUGUUGACUGCGACCCUCCGGUGCCGGGGGCGCUUGGAUCUGUCUCCACUUGCUCCAUGGACCACGUCUGCUCUCCCCGUUAGCUUCUCCAGGAGACAAAGCUCAAGCUACCAGCCCAUUAAGAUGACGACACCAAGACUGCCGACUGGUCUAGUCUGUGACUCACCCAGGACCAGGCCCCAGGCCAGUGCUCGGGACUCCCCAGGCUGGGCAGAAGAGCAUGAGGGGUCUCCACCCACCUGCUCCUUGGUAUGCCUCUGCCCUGGCAGGGCAGCCCCUUCUUCUGGCCGGCUCUUGACUCUCCUGGGUGCAAUGCCCUUGGAGCAACCCUCAGAGGUUCCUAUCACUCUCCUACCUCCUGCCCCCCUCGCCAAAAACUUAUUAAGCAGUCGCCUGUCACCUCUACCUUAAUAAAUAAGAAUCUCUUUUCAGCUUCUUUGUCUUCCUCACCUUGGGGCCCACCUCCUGUAACCACACUGUCAAUUACACCUCAUGUCUAGCAAGGCCAGAGCUAAUGAAAAGCAAUAGAGAAUUCACUGCCUUUUAAUGAGGGAAACAUGGCUUUUUACAGGGAACAAUUUAUUGGGCCAAUUCCCCCCGUCCAUCACCCAGGGGAGUUGCUGCCUUUUAGUACCCUGCGUUUGUUACCGUGUCAAGCACUGUGUAAAAUUGCCAGCCAAGCACCGAGGUGAAGGCUCUGACUCAAUUUACAGGGUGACAUCUCUAAUCUCCCUCCUCGGAUCAGUAAGUGAUCCUGGCAAUGAUAUGCAUAGAAAUUAAUUACUCUGUCCCUCCUGCUCCCUGGCAGCCAGAAGUAGGGCAUGGUCCUUGGUCACAACAGCCGGGCCUACAGGCCACUGACCUCCAUUGUUUCUAGCUAUUUGUCCUGGCAAGAGUAUACAGAAGAGACAGGACCACACUGCCAGAAAAGGCAAGGGAACAAAUACAUGGGAGGAGAGCAUCUUGUGCAGCUCAGCCUUGUUUGAGAUCAAGAGAAAAUACCAGGUCUAUCACUGUUUCCAAGGGAGAGGGUGAGCCAGGGGACGCAGGAAGAAAACCCCAGGCUGAGAUUCAGGGAAUGUCUAAUCUGCUGCUAAUUUUCUUUAUGACCCUGGGCAUGCCACUUCAUCUCUGAAGUAGAGUGUUUUAAACAGUGAUUCCUCUGAGGUUCUGCAAAAAUAGACCUCCCCUCCCCAUCCUUCUCCUUUGCCUUCCCUGGAUGAUCUGUUGGGCUACUUUCAAUCAUUGGGCUUUAGGCUUGGGCGAGCUGUGUGACCCUGGGCAAGUCUCUUCACUUCCUCCACACUCUAGAAUCUUAUGGUUCAUGAUCUACUUCCAAAGAUGGUUUCAAGAGUCAAAUGAAAGCAAGUUGCUUUAGAAUAUAAGAUCAUAUCAUUUAAGUUCCAGAUCUGGGAGAAAUUAGGAAAAAAUGGCUAUUGUGAGGAGGACUGACCAAGAAUUCCUGCCUUAAAGUAUCUGCCACACUUCAUGUCAUAUCUGAAAUCCAACCAUUAGCAAUUUAUUUCUUUGAGUCUUCAGAUAUCACUUAUUGAUGUUAGUUCUUAUCAAGCAUUCACUCACUCUGUCCCAAAGAGCAUACUUAGAUUGAUCACCAUCACAUUUACAUAAUCAUAGCAAACUUUUAUUUCUUUUUUAAAUUUGAAAUAUAGCUGAUGUAUAAUAUUAUAUUAGUUUCAGGUAUACCCAUAGUGAUUCAACAUUUAAACAUUACAAAGUGAUCACCGUGAUAAGUCUAGUAACCGUCUGCCUCCAUACAAAGUUAUUAGAGCAUUAUCAAUGUAUAUUACAUUCUUGUGACUAAUUUAUUUUGUAACAUCUUAAUUCCCUUUACCGAUUUUACCCAUUCCUCCACCUCUUCCACUCUGGCAACCAUUCAUUUGUUCUCUGUAUCUAUGAGUCUCUUUACAUUUUGCUUUGUUUGCUUGUUUUUGUUUUUAGGUUCCACAUAUAAGUGUAAUCAUAUGGAAUAUAUCCAUUUUUCCUGUCUGACUUAUUUCACUUAACAUAAUACCCUCUA
rnacentral:lncRNA from 1 species